ACUCAGAGAUGCUUUACUUGCGCACACCUAACUAAUUGCCCUGUAAGGACGAUAGCUGUGAGUAGGCCUUGUACCUGUGGAACCAAGGAAACGUCUGCUGAAUUCAGAAAUUCAGAAGCUGGAUCCUGCCCUCUGGCCCUCUGGGACUGAGGAAUUGUACCUUAGGGGUGCACACCUUGGAGAAAGCACACACCUCCAGUUUGUUGGACAGCAGGAUCAAAAACCAACCCACCAACACCUUAAAAACAUAUUUAUUUAUUUUAUGGAGGCAUCCUCUGAUAAAGAAUGCUAAGACCUUACCAAAGAUUUCACAGGGACACAGAAGACAAGCAGGGAAUGAAGAUCCAGCCUGCAACCAUCUUAGGCUUAAAAGCCAUCUUAUCAUAAAGACAAAGGAGGUCCAUUCCUAUUCAUGAUUAAACUUCUGUUUUUC
ensembl:antisense Gm14167 predicted gene 14167